GAGGGUUUCGAGCGAAGGGUUUUGGAAUCCGGCUAGAGAAAGAGCUCGACUAUUGGUGCUACAUGGUCUUUAGACAAGCUUGAGUGUAACUUAUCUUUUUUUUAAUGCAAAAUAGCAAUUCCUGAGGAGCCAUCAUACAGAUGUAAUUGAAUUGGUGAGGAAUGAAGAAAUAUAGGGGUUCUAUUGAGGAACAGACAAGAUGAAUCAAUUCCAUCCCUGAAAAAUUAGUGUGCAAAUCCCUACCUUGCUACACCUGUGAUGUGUUUCCUUUUCUGCUCAAAUGGUGUAUGCUGUUUCUUUGGAGUCACUGAACCACAUCAGCAGAAGUUCACCUUGGUGCCCUAGCAUAGACGAACCACCUUAAGCUCCCACAGUUCAUUUGGGAUGAUGACUUGAAACGGUUAUGGAAUCACAAGGCUUAACAGAGAUCAGUACUUGACUGACAUUUUUCUUGUUUGUUCUAAACAAAAACACAUAAAAAGGGUCUGAUGUAAAAAACUUAGUUCAAUCACUGGCAAACUCAUCGAUCACAAAAUUAUUUGGAGAAAGAACUUAGGUAAUCAGAAAAGCACAAUCCCUUAGCCAAUCCAUAUGUUGUGAGACAUUGAUGAGGUAUGAGUGAUGAUCUGAGUCAUACCACUUAGGUAAGGUACAUGUUGCAUUCAUGCUCGGUUGUGUUUAAGUCAAGAUUAGAUAUGGAUUUCGAUAAAAUGAUGAUCAGGAUUUGUUUCACCGAAAAAUUUAGUAUGUAUAUUGAUUUUUUUUCCAGAUGAGGGUGUGCCUUAUAAUAUUUUUUUCCCGUCGUCACGCUUCGUAUGCAUGUGUUCGGUCUUCGUCUUCUCUAGAAUAUGGUUGUAGGUAGUAAUUGCCUGUAGUAUCUCCUGUAGCGGCCAUAGGCUCUAAUCCUAAUUUAAUACGUAGUGUAUAGGAACAUAUAACUAACACACAUGUAGUAGUUGGGCAGUAAGACUUCGCUAUCAUCAGUAUUAUUGCGAGCAGGUUUCCAAGCAGAAUCGGAACCAAAUCUGGUGACGUAGAUGACGAUAUAAGUAUUCUCUUCGGUUUGUUGGUGACAAAUAGCAGAAACAAGAGGAAAAGAACCUCGUUGCUUUUGAUGCACCCUCCUCCUUUCUGCUUCUUUUGGAGAGGGAUAAAAGAAGGGAUGGUGGGGCAGUUUGCCUCGCGAGGAAGGGUCCAGAGACACAAUAGUUUUGGCUUUAGGUCAAGGAGAUUGUUUAGUUGGCAGGAGAUGGAUAGUAGUACACUGCAGCUCGCAGAAUUAUAGAAUCGCUCUCUAUGAUCCUGCCAUUAUUUAUUAUUCUGUGUUGGCGUUGUUGACGGGAUGAUCACCAAUCAAUCAAGCUAGUAUUAAAAUCGUGGAAAUAUAAUGAAAUCAGAAAUAUGGUGUUUCUUGUUUGCAACGUCAUCGAUGGUCGAUGGUGGGGGCAGAGGGAAA